rnacentral:lncRNA from 1 species
UAGUCUAUAAUAUUUCUUUGCAAAAUACAUUAUAUUAUUGAGUUAUAAUGGAAUGUUCAUUGAAAAUGAUAAUGAAGUUUAUGGUAUUGUUGGUUGUUAUUGUGAUGAGCUUAAUGGGAUGUGCAUAUGCAUCACAACCAGAAAUCAACAGUGUUGGCACUAAUGGAGAAGUAGUUCCAGUUCCAGCUUGCUACAUGCUAUGCGCUUUUAACAAGCAAUGUUGUCCUCCAGUUCCUAAACUCUAAAUUUGGGUACUCCUUUAAAUAGCUUACAAUAAUACUAUUGAGUUUGAGAUAAACUCGACCCAUGUAAUAAUUGAGCAACAAGACUAAAUAAAAAAUAUCAUUUCUUUUUAUUUUUUUAUUUUCCAUUAUUUGAG